GCUACUAGAGGACGCCCGUUCCAAUGGCAACUCUGCCAAGGCGCCUAUGAGAGCCUCUUGGCUUUUACCUGGUCUGCGAGAAAUCAAACUUUGGGCACAAGUCAUGAAGCCGACAAGCCCGGGAGACACAGUGUCAGAAUUACAAGGAACACUACAAGGCCUGUUAGAGAAGAAAGGGUAGAAUCCCGAGAAUGUUUUCCCCACAGUGCUGAUAAGGAGAGACCACUAUCCCAUCUACUGCUACAGCUCUGGAGACAGAGCUCUCCCACCUGUCAUAUAGAACACAAGGACCAAUCUGCAGAGAAAGAGCAUCCAAACCUGAUCCAGUGGACACUGGGGAAAAACUCACCACAGCUGAGUGUGGAAAAACAAGGCCAACACACACAUCUCUGCACAGAUACAUCUCCCAUAAAGAAACUAAAGUGUUAAUUUACAGGGCACUGUUGCAGACCCACUUCAGCUGGAAGCUAGGAACAUGGACAAGGAGCCUCUCUACCACCAAGGGAGAGAGAGGAAUGUGCUCUUGUCCUGGCAUUGCAUCCACAGGAGGGGCAGGAAAUUCUUUGAAGGUUUUCAGAUCUCAUGACUACUUUAUUUUGGAGUUGCCAGACUCAGCAAAUAAAAAUACACGACACACAGUUAAGUUUAAUAUUCAGAAAGAAAACUGUUGUGGCAAGUCAGGGACCCCAAACGGAGGGACCGGCUGAAGCCAUGGCAGAAGAACAAGGAUUGUGAAGAUUUCAUGGACAUUUAUUAGUUCCCCAAAUUAAUACUUUUAUAAUUUCUUAUGUCUGUCUUUACUGCAAUCUCUAAACAUAAGUUGUGAAGAUUUCAUGGACACUUAUCACUUCCCCAGUCAAUAUCCUUGUGAUUUCCUAUGCCUGUCUUUACUUUAAUCUCUUAAUCCUGUCAGCUGAGAAGGAUGUAUAUUGCCUCAGGACCCUGUAAUAAUUGCAUUAACUGCACAAAUUAUACAGCGUGUGUGUUUAAACAAUAUGAAAUCUGGGCACUUUGAAAAAAGAACAAGAUAACAGCAGUGUUUAGGAAACAAGAUAGAUAGCCUUAAACUCUGACUGCUGGUGAGCCGGGCAGAACAGAGCCAUAUUUCUCUUCUUUCAAAAGCAAAUGGGAGAAAUAUCGCUGAAUUCUUUCUCAUGAUGGAACAUCCCUGAGAAAGAGAAUGUGUGCCUGCGGGUAGGUCUCUGAACUGGCCCCCCUGGGCAUAGCCUGUCUCUUAUGGUCGAGGCUGCCGAGAUGAAAUAGACUCCAGUCUCCCACAGCGCUCCCAGGCU
rnacentral:lncRNA from 1 species